CUGUCUCUUUACUUGCCUAUUAAAACUACGUGUCUUCCUCAUGUACCAUUAAUUUACACCUCACUUUGUGUCUGUCUUCAUCAAUUCAGUGCAUAGCAAGAUUCUUCUUUUGCAUUUCAUCUAGGUAUGACUCUUCCAUGUUUUCAUUGAGUUUUUUUUUAUCAUCUUUCUUUUCCAUAAAAUUGAAGUCCGACAAUCAAAUUUAGGUGUGUGAAUAUAUCAAAUUUGAUCUAGGUGUGUGAAAAUUUUCUUCUUUUUUCAUGUUAUUGUUGUCCAAUUUUCCUUGUGUUUUGGAAGUCCCAAUAAUUUUCAUCUGUAUGCGUUCAAUUUUGGCUGGGUGAUUAUGAUUUCCAUGUUUUAUUUUGGAUUUCUGUUUCAGAUUUUUGUUGAGUUUUGUCACAUGCAGUAAUUAAUUUGGGCUUUGAAUUUUCUUUCUCAGAAUUCUUUUGAACUUCCUCCAUUCAUGUAUGGGGUUUUCAUCGGAAUCAAUUUCUUGGGUUCUUGAGUCUUUGGCUUGGAGUUUCUUCCCCUUAUUGAAUUGAUGUUUUUGCUUCAUAGGUUUGAGGGUAUUUUAGUCUUUUUAGUACUCCAUUUUGGGUUACGUGUCCUACGAUUUAUGCACACCAAAAGUUCUCCUUUCUCCAGCAAUCUGUUGAGAUACAGCAUUUUGCUUUAGAGUUCAUUUGAUGAUUGAGGGGACAGACCAUUGUUUUCUUCUUCAACAGCAUCAACAGAUUGAGCAUGGAUCAUGCCAUUGUUUUCUUCUUCCUUAAUACUCUCAUUGGACAUCACGUUCACAGAGACUAAUGGAGUAGUGUCUACCGUCAUCUCAGUUGAUUUGCAGGAUGCAGAUGAACUCAUUGUGCCUUUUCACACCAGUAGUAGAGCAAUUUGAGAAGUAGUGAAAGUGUGAAGUUAAGGAUAUUCAACUACUCUACGAGAAUGUCAUCUACGGCUCAGAAAGCAAGGAGUAUUGCAUCGACACCAGUACACACUAUCAGAUCAGCCCCUUCCUUUCUCUCGCAACCAAAGCGAGAGCUGGGAAUGUUGUCAACGAACUCUCUGGAUUUUUUAUUUUUCUAUCAUGUGUACAAAGAUAUAGGGUAUGAACUGCAACUGGAUAUUAUAAAAAAAAAUUCAUCCUUUGGUAAUCAAAUUGUAAAAAUAUUAGUGUACUUUAGACAUUAGUGACUCUAUUUGCUAUCAUCUUGCACAAUCAAUGAGCUAUCACAACUUAAAUGUUUUAGUUUU